AUUGUAGACCAUGGUUACAACAUCAGUCUUGGAGAAAUGAACAAGAUCUGCUCUCGAGGUUAAAACUUGGUCUGGGCGAAGUGUUCCUGGAGAAACCUCGGAGCGGAGAAUUUAGCUUGUGGUACAGUGGAGCUGAGCCCACUUCAAGCUGUGUAGCUCUUAAUGUAUACUUGCUUAUGUUGAACAUAUGAAUAACUUGCUGAAUAGUGGGGUGCUACCUGGACGCUUAACUUUUAAGCACUGAGGAAGCAGGUUGUUACAUGGGGAAGUCUAAAACCACUCAGAAGUGUAAAGAUGAAAAUGUUGCACAUAAGUGCUAUGUUAAAACCAGUGACCCAUCAGUGCACAGCAAGAAUGUGCUUACCCUUCUGAUCUGCUUCUGGCCGUCCAGUUCUUGCUUUUUUUUUUUUUGUGUUUGAGCUUGUGCAGCUCAGAGAAGAAGUUUUGUGAUUCAAAGUUGGAACUUCUCCCAGGUGUGGCUGAACUCCCCCUACCACCACACUCACCAGGGUUCAGCAUCAGCCUCCAGUCUGUUGUUUUCUCUGCCUCUCUGGCUCACAGGAGGCUGCAAGACUGCUGCUUUGCUGGAUUCUUUCCUAGUUGCAGGCUGCCUGUCCACUCACAGAAGUGGAGCCCCGUCUUCUAACUCUGGACCUUGAGGACUCUUAUUUGAUGGUACCAUCAUAAUGCAAAUCAUUGAUUCUUGGGCAUGGACAGAGAGGAGGGUUACCUGAGGAGUUUAUCCUCAUUUACUGGGAUAGGAGAGGACUGCAACUUGCCACACUUUGAUGUAUCAUACUAUAAAUGAGAUCACAGUCAGCGUGUGCCUUUGCCCAUACAUGCAACUGUUUGUCUUAGAAGAAAACAUGUCCAGUAAUAUAAAAUAAAUAAAUAAAUAAAAUCCUGGGGGAUUUCCUGGGUCAGUUCCAUGCUGUCUAGGAUAAUUUUUUAUUCAAGAUUUGUGAUCGUCUGAAGGUUGACCAUGCUGUUCUGAUGUAGUUUGUGGUGAUUUGCUAUUUCAGCUAGCUUUCUCUGACCUUCAUCACAAUUAAAUCAGGUCUGAAUACUGUGAAAGUGCAUUUUUUUCUCAUUUUUGAAAUUUUUGGAUGACUGAGAUAUGUUAUAAAACUAGGUUACAUAAAUUGCUUGUAAAGUUUUCCUUAUUUGUUCAGGCCUUCAGCAAGGAAAUACACAUUCAACACAAGUAUCAGUUUGAGGUAUCGUAUGGUACAUAAUUGUAGGAUAGAGACAUUCACAACAUUUUCCCACAUUCUUUCCAUAAUGAAAGAUAACACAGAGCUAGCUUCUAGAAAACAUGACACCAUGACUACUUAUUUUUUUUAAAAUCUUGAUUAUCUUUUAAUAUUUUGAAUAAUUUUUAGGACUAGAACUUCUUCAUGCUUAUUUGGUAGUGAAUUUUCCACUUGUAACUGUUAAGGACUUUACAUGAUGUUUGAAGAGCUGCAUCUAACUGUUAGUGUUCCAUGCAGCUUUUCAAAAGGCCUGGCAGAUGUGAAAAAUAAAAUGUAAACUAGGCAAUGCAAAAUGAAAUAUUAAUGGACAGAGUUCAUCCCUUAGUCGUCAUCUUGUUAACUGACACAAUUCUUAAACAAUCCUCAUUAUUCUGGGUCAUCCAGUCUCAUGGAAACUCAAAUUACAAGUAUUUGUUCUUUGUUCUUUGACUAACACUUAAUAAAAUUAGUUUCACGUUCAGAUAUACAGGAAAAUAACAGGGGAAAAACUCCAGGUACUUGUUUCUGUCAGUGAAUCAGCACUUGCAAAGCUCUGAAAUUAAUUGUUUAGCAUGCUCAUUACUCUUAGAAAAAAUAAAUAUGUUCUCAUUAUGCUCACUUGGUGAACAUAUGUACCUUGGAAUACAUUUAAUGUUACUUGCUGUGAGGGAGAUUACAACUCUUUUUAAGGAAAUUGGGUAGAUUAAUGGAAUGGGGUGGGUUAAAUUGCUCUCCACAUGCAUUCCCUAGCAUGCCUAGCCUACUCCUGAAUUUCAAUUGAUAUGUAUAAAGCAGUUUAGCUAAGGAUGCUCUGUGAAGCAACUGGAGUAAAACAGGAUAUCUGUGUAUUACAGGGGCUGAACUUGGUAAAUGUGUUGUAUGCUAAAACAAACCAAACAACACAUGGGACCACAUUUAUACUCAGUCAUAAUCUGUAUGUGAACAGUUGCGUUUUCAGCAACUUCAUUAUGGCUGUAUGUAUAUUGAUCUGUGGUGAACCUCAGCAGGGGAUUUGGGUCUGUUACUAAGAAUCUUCCCAACAAAUUAGUGGGCAGAAUCCAUGAAAAGAACAACUUUGUCUUGUCAGUAAGUAUAUGCAGUUUCAGUACUGCAACCUGUGACAGAGCCUGCAGAGGGUCUUUCUGAUCCUUAUUCUACCUUUGAGCUACCAGUAGCAAAGAUGAGGAUCACUAAGGACUAAAUACUAUUGGUGCAACUCAUUGGUUUCAGGAGGAGUUCUUCCAGAGGCAGAGUAAUCUUCAGUGUUCAAUUUUUAACCAGACUUCCUGUUAUAAAUGAGAGCUAAGGUCCAAGUAACUACGACAGCUUGCUAGGGUUGUUAAUUUGAAAAAAAUGCUGAAGAUGUCAAAGUUUAGUGCUUUAAAGGAAAACUCUCAAAACUGGGAGUAUCUCCACAUAUUUUGCAGACCAUGCUAGGCUCCCAGGGCUUCUUUAAGACUGCCUUGAGGGUAGCAACAGUCCCAUCAACAAUGUAAAUUGUACUUUUAUUUUUCUUAACACCAUUGUCUGAAUUUGGCCCAUUGAAGAGGCUAAAAGCCCGGGACGUGGGUUUUAGAAGAUGGAAGAGCCCCAUGUGAUUCAUGCUUAUCACCGAUGUGUUAACUUGAAAGAAACACGAAGGAUGUUUUGCUGUAGUGCAAUACGGUGGUGUAAGAUGAUGAUGUAUGCCUCAGAAGCAGAGGUGGCAUCAUUCUGUGGAAGACUGCAAUCUACUCCAAAAGCAAAAGAAAAAAAAAAAA